ACACCAAACAAAGUACAGCUUCUUUCCUCUUAUCCGGGUCCAAAGUCCAUGGCUGAGUGGACUCUGAGGGGGAGGAGUCUGGGGGGGAAGUCAUCCACUGUGAGGAAUGGUCCAUCCGUCUUCUGCUGGGGCUCAUGAGAAGAAACAGGCCUUAGAACCUGCAUGGCCCAGGAGGCUGAUUUCUGUAUCAAUCUACGGAACAUUUAAACAUUAUGACACUCUCUAAUCUAUCACCCAAAUGGAUUCUUAAAACUCCUUACCUAAAUUAGAUUCCUUUACUCUGCUUUAUCAUCAAAAACUCUUCCUUAAACACUCCAAAGAUUAUACAAAGUACCUACUUCACUCACAUACUGCACCCCAAAACAGUCACCUCAUCAAUCUGUACACAUAUAUAUGGCUCAGGAUAAAGGAAGGAUAGCACCCAUUCUCGCUAAGAAAAGUAACCAAAAGCACUGAUGGUGAGUGGAGACUGUCUUCUAAGAAAUACAGAAAGGAACAUCCUCCUCCUGUUCUCCUCUUAUUAGUGCCACACACUAAUCGCCCUACAUUUCCCAAGCUUCUUAGGGUGUUGGUCAGCUCUCCCCGACUCAACUAAAUCCAUUCCAGACCUAGAUGCUGGCACCUUUCACAGGCAUCCUUUGCUCCCUUCCCCUCACUCUCACCUCCCACUCUGCUUCCCAAACUGCCAGAGACGUAAUUCCCAAUCUGUCAAACUCCUUCCUGGGGCCACUCCCGAGAGCACUCUCCUGGAAUGUCAGAGGCCCAAGUCCUGCCAGCAACAGCCCCAAUGUUCCAAUUUCUCAGUCCGGGAGCCCACCCCGUCGCCUCCUCCCUUCUAAAUUUAUUCCUAAACACACACACAGCCUUCCUUCCUGUAGGGGCGUGGCGUUACCCCCCCCCCCCCGCCAAGAAUUUAACUCCUCCCACCCUUCUCCUCCGAACCCGCGCUCAGAGUUCACAGGCGAAGCGGGGACGCCGCGAGCCUCUCUAGACUCGGGCCCCCACCCCUCGGCGGCCCGAACGACCCCGGCCCUAUCUGCGCGGGGCCGUUACCUGCAUCCCGCCCGCCCCGCGUCGGCAGGGAGCCGCGGCCCGCCCCCUGUCGGAGCGCAGGCCCGAGGCCGGGGCCCCAAGGCCGGCCCAGGCCCCACCCCCUCGACCCCCGGCGGCCCGGCCCUCCCCUCGCGCUCCUCUCCCCCCCCACCACCCACCACAGCCACUUCCGCCCGUCCUCCGGAAGUGAGCCCGCGGCAACUGCCGCCCCCCCAUCCCGCUUAUUCUUCUUCCCCACUCCCCCGCCCAUCACCGCCGCCACCACGGGAGCAUGGGACGUGGGUCUGCAGGGCUCGAGGUUGUUCUGCAGCCACUGUUCACAGGACUGGAGACGAGGAGUCAGUGCCAGCUAGGCCAGAAGUCUGGUCUUGCUGCACAUGCUCUGCCUUCGAAUAA
rnacentral:lncRNA from 1 species